AGAUUGAACGCUGGCGGCGUGCCUAACACAUGCAAGUCGAGCGGUAACAGGUGUAGCAAUACAUGCUGACGAGCGGCGAACGGGUGAGUAAUGCUUCGGAAUCUACCCACGGGUGGGGAAUAACCAACCGAAAGGUUGGCUAAUACCGCAUAAGUCCUACGGGGGAAAGCGGGGGAUCGAAAGACCUCGCGCUGGUGGAUGAGCCUACGUCCGAUUAGUUAGUUGGUGGGGUAAAGGCCUACCAAGGCUACGAUCGGUAGCUGGUCUGAGAGGACGACCAGCCACACUGGGACUGAGACACGGCCCAGACUCCUACGGGAGGCAGC
rnacentral:rRNA from 1 species